GAUGAACGCUGGCGGCGUGCCUAAUACAUGCAAGUCGAGCGAACGGACGAGAAGCUUUCUUCUCUGAUGUUAGCGGCGGACGGGUGAGUAACACGUGGAUAACCUACCUAUAAGACUGGGAUAACUUCGGGAAACCGGAGCUAAUACCGGAUAAUAUUUUGAACCGCAUGGUUCAAAAGUGAAAGACGGUCUUGCUGUCACUUAUAGAUGGAUCCGCGCUGCAUUAGCUAGUUGGUAAGGUAACGGCUUACCAAGGCAACGAUGCAUAGCCGACCUGAGAGGGAGAUCGGCCACACGGGAACUGAGACACGGUCCAGACUCCUACGGGAGGCAGCAGUAGGGAAUCUUCCGCGAUGGGCGAAAGCCUGACGGAGCAACGCCGCGUGAGUGAUGAAGGUCUUCGGAUCGUAAAACUCUGUUAUUAGGGAAGAACAUAUGUGUAAGUAACUGUGCACAUCUUGACGGUACCUAAUCAGAAAGCCACGGCUAACUACGUG
rnacentral:rRNA from 1 species